CACGUAAGGGGCGAGCGUUGUUCGGAAUUAUUGGGCGUAAAGGGCGUGCAGGCGGUUUGACAAGUCCGUUGUGAAAGACCGGGGCUUAACUCCGGGAGCGCGAUGGAAACUGUCAGACUAGAGUACUGGAGGGGGAGCUGGAAUUCCUAGUGUAGGGGUGAAAUCUGUUGAUAUUAGGAAGAACACCGGUGGCGAAGGCGAGCUCCUGGCCGCGUACUGACGCUGAGGCGCGAAAGCGUAGGUAG
rnacentral:rRNA from 1 species